rnacentral:rRNA from 1 species
CCCCUAGAUGUUCUGGGCCGCACGCGCGCUACACUGAACAGUUCAACAAGUCUUAACCUUGGCCGAUAGGUCUGGGUAAUCUUUGAACGCUGUUCGUGAUUGGGAUAGACCUUUGCAAUUAUGGGUCUUCAACGAGGAAUUCCUAGUAAACGCAAGUCAUCAGCUUGCAUUGAUUACGUCCCUGCCCUUUGUACACACCGCCCGUCGCACCUACCGAUUAAAUGGUCCGGUGAAAUCUCGGGACGGCGGCUUGGUCGCUUGCGUCCGACUGCUGAAACUUGAUUAAACCAUAUCAUUUAGAGGAAGGUGAAGUCGUANCA